rnacentral:rRNA from 1 species
AGUGAACGCUGGCGGUAGGCCUAACACAUGCAAGUCGAACGGCAGCACAGGAGAGCUUGCUCUCUGGGUGGCGAGUGGCGGACGGGUGAGGAAUACAUCGGAAUCUACCUUUUCGUGGGGGAUAACGUAGGGAAACUUACGCUAAUACCGCAUAAGACCUUCGGUGAAAGCCGGGGACCGUUCGGGCCGUGGCGGCGGAG